UCAACUGUUGGUUCCUCAAGUUUUUGGUCAACUACUUGUUCUUCAGUUGCUAGUUCUUCAGGUUUCUUUUCAACUGCUAGCUCUUCAUGUGUCUCUUUAACCACUGGUUCUUCAGGUGUUUCUUUCACCUCUGGUUCUUGAGAUUGCUCCUCAAUCACUGAUUCUUGGGGUUUCUCUUCAAUUUUUGGUUUGGGUGUUACUUCAACUGCUGGUUCUUCAGGUUUUCCUUCAACUGCUAGUUCUUCUGGGUUUUCUCCAAUUGCUGCUGGUUCCUCAAGUUUUUCAUCAACUGCUGGUUGUUUAGAUUUUUCUCUAACUGCUGGUUCUUCAGGUUUCUCCUCAACUGUUGGUUCCUCAAGUUUUUGGUCAACUACUUGUUCUUCAGUUGCUAGUUCUUCAGGUUUCUUUUCAACUGCUAGCUCUUCAUGUGUCUCUUUAACCACUGGUUCUUCAGGUGUUUCUUUCACCUCUGGUUCUUGAGAUUGCUCCUCAAUCACUGAUUCUUGGGGUUUCUCUUCAAUUUUUGGUUUGGGUGUUACUUCAACUGCUGGUUCUUCAGGUUUUCCUUCAACUGCUAGUUCUUCUGGGUUUUCUCCAAUUGCUGCUGGUUCCUCAAGUUUUUCAUCAACUGCUGGUUGUUUAGAUUUUUCUCUAACUGCUGGUUCUUCAGGUUUCUCC
rnacentral:misc_RNA from 1 species